rnacentral:rRNA from 1 species
UACAGAGGUCUCAAGCGUUGUUCGGAUUCAUUGGGCGUAAAGGGCGUGUAGGCGGCGCGCUAAGUCGGGUGUGAAAUUUCGGAGCUUAACUCCGAAACUGCAUUCGAUACUGGCGUGCUUGAGGACUGGAGAGGAGACUGGAAUUCAUGGUGUAGCGGUGAAAUGCGUAGAGAUCAUGAGGAAGACCAGUGGCGAAGGCGGGUCUCUGGACAGUUCCUGACACUGAGACACGAAGGCCAGGGGAGCAAACGGG